CCGCUCCCGCUUCGACCUAGAAACUCCUGUGGCGGCAGGCGAGCGAGCAGAGACAGAUGAGCGCCGCUGCUCCUGCAGUUUCGCCUCCCCUUCCAGCCUCUUACUCUACCUCAAUCUGCCGGCGGGGAAUUUAGGAUUCCAGCGAGCAGGGGCGCAUCGGUGAUCCUUUGGCGCGCGGCUGCGACGGAAAUGGACUCGCCGGGUGUCCAUGGCGGAUGGCGGCGGCGACAGCGCGGUAGAGACCUAUGUGGCCUGCCUGCAGAGCGUCGGCUCUACGAGAGCGAGUCGGAUUCCAGCGAGCAGGGGCGCAUCGGUGAUCCUUUGGCGCGCGGCUGCGACGGAAAUGGACUCGCCGGGUGUCCAUGGCGGAUGGCGGCGGCGACAGCGCGGUAGAGACCUAUGUGGCCUGCCUGCAGAGCGUCGGCUCUACGAGAGCGAGUCGGAGGAUUUGGAAGGAAGAAGGAUGUUCUCUUGGAUCCAAGCACUCUACGCAAUGAUGGGAUGAUUGCUCUUUCAACAUAUUCUAUUAGCGAGGAUGGCAAGUGAAAGUGGGGGGAUUGGAUCACUAUUCCUAUCAUGCAUUGUAGACAUGAUGCAUUGAACAUAUGUCCGACAAAUUGUCCUUGCAGGAUUCGAUUCGGUACAACACCAUCACUGGUACAGACAACAAGGGGCUCGUCGUGCCAGGCACCUCGGCGCUGCUUCCGUGCAACGGCGGCAGCGGAAACAGCCACAGUGAGCUCCCCUCCUUGCCUCCGUUGGUUGCUCUGAGCUUGUCGUGGCCAUUGUGUGAUGGCUAUGUCUGGAUGAGGAAAUUCAAUUAUCUGGCUGUGGUGUGCUGCUGUCUUUUGACAAUCAUUUUAUAUCACUACAACUGUUAAAACAGCAUGGAGGGUCGGUAAGGACGUUGUGGAUGCUGCAAGUUUGCUUGUCCUAGUAUGUCUUGCUUUCCCAUUUAGUAUGUAUAUCACUUCAUUCAAUUAAGAAAGGCAUUGUAGAUAGCCUAACGAUAAGAAGUCGUCUCGAGAAGAGCGGCGCUAGAAUAACCGUAGCGGCCAAUAGGCGUAAGCGGGUGAGCGCGGAAGCCAUAGUAGGUUGAGCUGGAGGCAGUGCAUUGCCAUCAGAAGGAGGCAUGGUAGCUGAGGGAGAUGGUGCAUAGAAGAAUCCACAACACGCGAGCCACCAAUGUGGUAAAGAAGAGGAGAGGGGGGGGGGGGGAGGAGGUGAAUGGCAGCCUCAGGUAAAGAACGAGGUCGGGAAGCCAUAGGUGACGACGACAUGGGGUCUAUAGUAGUACGGGAAGACACGAUAGUGUGGGUGGACGAGGACAAUACAUGAGUUAUAGGUGUAUCGGGAAAAGUGAGGAAAGAAUUAUCCUUAAUAGGGGGAUGGACGUGGAUAGAAAGCAUGAAACUCACCAAAAGUCACAUCCUGAGAAAUGCGUAAGGAUCCGUGGAAAAUGUACCUGACUACGUAAAAAGUGGUCUCAGUAUGGAAAGAAUCAACAACAAAAUUGUUGAUGGAGAACCAAAAGAAGCAUCUAGCAGUCACUGAAGUCUCGUAAUCUCCAACGUAGUCAGGGGUUCAACUGAAGCAGCAGGUAGGUGUCGAAGUCGUGCAAUCUCCUUCGCGGUGAAGGACACCGUUGAAGUGGUCGACGUCGAAUCACCGAAAGAGUGGCCACGACCACCCGUGUAAGCCGCUAGAGGAGGCGGUGUAGUACGAUCAAUAUCGGUUGUAGAAGUUGGUGGAGGAUAUGAGGUUGCGAGCACACAAGCACCAAGCGUGAAGGGAAGGCGCAUGUGCGACGUAGUCGGUGGAGUGAUGUGUACCAACACUAUCGAACAAGCUUCGUCUUACGACAAGAAAGAGCAACAAAGCAAGGAAGAGCUGCGAAUAGGGCACACAAGGUAGGGACAUGGUCCCUAGAGAAGCCAGUCGGCAGGAUGGGCUGCUGGGUUUGAGGUCCUGUGUGUAGCAAGAGGGAGCUGAUAUCGCGACCUGGAACAAUGGACGUCUCGACGAUUGUGGUUGGGUGCCAACUAGUUCGAGUUGGCGACGAUGCGUGGCCUCUUGGAGUAGCAUGGCGCUGGCCUCCCGAAGAUGGCGGCGAAGCGCUAACCUCCUGAAGAUGUCUGAUAGGUAGUCUGCGGUGCGAGUGCGAUGGAUGUGGCCACAAGGGGAGAGUCUGAUGGAGGCGGAGGUACCGAGCUCGAAAGGGCACGAUGGGAGAAGCCUGUGGGAAUUUAUCGAGGCGCGAGAGGCUUGGACAAGGAAGGGGAGGUGACCCUGAUCAAGAGGCAGCGGAGCGCGGAUCGAGGAGGUGGGGCUGCACAUAAGCGUAGUAGCCUGAGAAAAAUUGAUCGGAAACUUAGAGUGGGAUUGAUCGGGCAUUGUGUUCCUUCUAGAUGGUCUAGAAUGCGAGCAACACUGCUGACUUGGGUUUGUAGUGCACCGAAGGUGGAAUUGUCGCAUGACAGCCAAUCCACCAGUUGGAAAGGGAAACGUUGCCUCCUGGGGGCAUCGGUGAUGAUGAAGUGGCGAACACCAAUUCUAGAUAGCUGUCGAGAAGGACCAACCGGUGAACAGGUGUUGAGAACACCAAUUCUAGAUAGCUGUCGAGAAGGGCACUAAAGCAGAGGGUGUAGGCGACGUGGAUGUCCAUACCGUGGCGAUGACGACGGUAAGUAGAUCAUAGACGGUAGUCCAGAUAUGUGCUAACCGCAUGGCUGCAACCGCAAUCCAAAGCCGAGCUUCAUCAUCCUGUCGUUGUCUUUAUAGAUUGUCGAUCAUUGAUCACCCAAGCGUUACGUUCCUUCUAGAUGGUUAGAUUGCAAGCAAAAAUGCUGGCUCAAGAUCCUGGCGCGCCACAGACGAAGUGGUUCCGUGACAACCAAUCCACUGGUCGGAAAGGGAAAUUUCGGCCCCUUGUUGGAAUGGCAGCUGUGACACCAAAGAGGCGAGCACCGAUUGCUAGAUUGCCGUUGACAAGGAGCAGCUGAUGAACAUUUAUUUGGCAGUCUCAGGGACACUAGAGUAGAGGGGACAUGCGACAUGAUUGACCACACCGUGGCACCGAUGACAGCCCGUAGACCAUAAAUGUUGUUGUGGGGUGAGCCACAUGUGGAUCUUGCAUUUGAUGGAUGCCCACGCUUUCCGCAACACUUUGUUGUAGGGGACGAGUUGAAGCCCAUAAAGAACACACGAUACGGGAAGUACUUGGAUGAUGUAUGCCUGCUUCCAAAGCAGGCGAUCUUACUCCUUGAGUACCAAGAUUGAUUGGAGAGCCCACGUGCUAAGUUUGUUGGGUGGUGCUGAUUAAAAUUAAGGCUCCCUUCAGUCAUCCUGCUUUUUACACCGCCAAGCAGGUGGCUUGGGGCAGGGCAAAGGAUGUCACAUUCAUACCACUUGACGGUUACACUUUUACGACGGAGUUCUAAGUUUUUUGGGGAUUGGAAUCACAACCAUGCAUGGGGUCCUUUGCUCUUUAGGCACCAUGCUAUGGUAAUUGAGGAGUAUACUGGAAUAUGUUGCCCUUAUAACUCCAUACGUGUUUGGGCUCGGAUCAUGGGUCUCGACCGGACUUGCCGUGCAAAAUACCAGUGGCUAGAGCAAUGGCUUCCAUGAUAGGAGAAGUGUUAGAUGUGGAGCUUGGGCUAAAUGGUGUUGAAUAUGAAAGUUUGUUUGAGUGCACAUCAAUAUCAAACCAGAGAAGCCCCCUUUUAGGUUCCUAGGGAAUGUUGAGCUAGGUAAAUGUUCCCUGUGUUAUAUGAGAAGACGUCGCAUUUUGCGCAAAUUACGAUAAAAUUGGCCAUGGUACAGAACAAUGUGGGGAUGGGGUUCAUGAUCCAAAGAAGUUUCAAUUUCGCGAUUUUAUGAUGGUUCCGACCUAGAAAUGAGUUAAUUGCUCAACCUAGUGGUAGCACUACCCGUGUAAGAGGUCGCUGGGCAGUAGAGGCCAAGGCAGUCGUGGAGGGAAAAUUGGGCAUGACUCAAACCUGAUGUAUAACGAGAAGAUUACUUUGGCCCUGCGAAUGGAAAUACGGAUACAUGCAAUGUCAAUGCAAACAAUGUUAAUUUAUGGGAUUCUGUUACGAAGCCACCUCACAAGAGGUUAUUGAUUGCAGGCAACCCCGCGUUGGUCAAGGAUCCUCCCUUGGCGCCAGGGGGAAAGAAAGUGACAUGUCUUAUAGAAUACCACGAGAGAAAAACUGGGGUGAACAACUCAGCUCAGGGCACCUCUUUGCAAGUUCAUGCGAGGAAAUGGUAGAGGAUGGUGGGUGUGCCGUCCUGAUAGCGUUUUACCACUUCCUUGUACCUCCCUUGCACUCUCUGUUUCCUGCCUAUCUGGCUUGUUGUCCUUGCCCUGUUUGCGGGUUGUGUGACACGUACUUGAUUUCGCAUUCCACGUUCCCUUGCUGGGCGUCCCUGGCCUUGGCGACAGGUAGCGACGUGCUCCUGGGCGCUCUGUGUCCUUGCGUAAGACGGAGGCGGUGCCGACUGCUCGUGCUCUUGCUCCACCAUUGGUGGUGCCUGAGCUAACGGCUAUUGCGACAACCUGCAUGGGAGCAUGUGAUGUAGGAACAAGGCAGCGCACAAAACAACUCGUAUCCAGGAAAAGGAUGCCUAAUCGGACUAGCAGGCAGUGGAGAGUACAAAGGAGGUGCGAGGGAAGGGGUGAAAAAGCUUUCGGGAGCGGAUUGCCUCCGUCGUCAGCCAUGCUGGACCCAUAGCCGAGUGGCCAGAGGAUGACGAUAGGGGAAGCGAGGUAGAUGGAAGACAAAAGAGGGCACUUGAAGGAGAAAGGCAUCAUCCACACCCUAUGCCUGUGCGUCAGCUGUGAUAGUGGGUAGAUCUGGUGUCUACAUGUGAAUCUACUACUCGGGAUGGCAGGACGUGGCUGUUGUGGAGUGAGGUGCCACAACUAUUGUGCCAAGUGAGCGUUUGGUUGUGGACGACAGGGCACUCUGCUAUGUGGCUCGCGUGCGAGUGGGAUACACUGGAGCAGCAAUAUUGGAUCUAGGGCGUGUGUUCAGUGCAAUUUUCGCAUGUGCUGCGCUGUAGAUGAGGCUAUGUUGCUUGUGUGGUUUUUGGCCUACUUUUCCUUGUAAAUUGGCAUGCGGUUUUCGAUCCAUAAACUGGAUCAAUCUCUUUUGAAGAGAUAGAAGCACCAAAAUGGUGGUUCAACAACACUGAGUUUGGAGAGAUAAAAGUCGUGUUGUGCUCUAGUCUGGGCCUUUGUUAAGAAAUCGGCCAAUUAUAAAUCGGAAGGCACAUACUGAAGAGCAAUAAUUUGAUCUUGCACACUGAAGCACAUGAAGGAAGCAUCAACACCAAUAUGCUUGGUGAGCUCAUGCUUCGAAGGGUCGCGCACAAUACUGAUAGCACUUGUGCUAUCUGAUAAGAGAGUAGUAGGUGUAGUCAUAGAAACACCAAAAUCCUCAAGCAACCAUGGUAGCCAAGUCACCUCUACUGUCAAAAUAGCCGUAGCUCACAACUCAACCUCUACACUCGAACAAGAAAGUGCAGUCUGUUUCUUUGUCUUCCAUAUAGUGAGAAACCAAGAAAAACAUAAUAAGCGGAAAGGGAUCGACGAACUUGAGCAUGGGAGGAAGAGAUGGCAAGAGAGAGUCUCACGAAGAUCCAGGCAAUGAGAAAACCACCAAGAAAAAACACAGUAAGUAGGAAGGGAUCGAUGAACUUGAGCAUGGGAAAAAAGAGACGAUGAGAGUCCCAUGAACAUAUCGUAGAACACAAAUGUGGUGACUGAAGUGGAUAGAAGUGGGAGCAGAGACAAACUGACUUAGAGUAUGAACGGGAUAUGAAAUAUCCGGAUGAGUGACAUCUAAAUAGACAAGACUCCCAACACGAUGAUGGUAGCACGUAAAAAACAGACGAAGGAUGAUCGUCAGAAGCACAGAGGUGGACCUUGAGCUCCAUAGGAGUCUAAGAAAUGCGAGCAAUAUCCUAAAGAUACUUCUCUUGGGAAAUAAGGAAGCCAUUAGAGUUAGAGGAAACCUCAAUCCCAAGGAAGUGAUACUUCUCUUGGGAAAUAAGGAAGCCAUUAGAGUUUGAGGAAACCUCAAUCCCAAGGAAGUAGCAAAGAGGACCAAGAUCAUACAUGAGAAACUACUCACUAAGACGAGCCUUCACAAAGGCAAUGUACUCCAAGUCGUCACCCGUGAUGAUUAUGUCAUUGACAUAUAGAAGAGUCCGACCACGAGCUAAAAGGUGGACAUAAAGUGCCAGAGAACCAACCACAGUCACCACUAAGUCACGAGGGUUGGCUUAAGGCCAUAAAGAGAGCGACGAAGACGACAGGUCAUUCCGUCAGGACCAGAAUACCCAGGUGGUGGCUGCAUGUAGAUCUCCUCAUGCAAGUCGCCAUUGAGAAAGGCUUUUUUGUCAUCAAGCUGAGAGACUAGUGGCGAGUAGGGCCGACCCUGAGGGGGCCCUCCAGGGUUCACAAGGAGCCCAUGGCCAAGGCCAUAGGGAGGCAGCAACCUAGACGCACGUAGCCCACGGGUCCCCUAAAAAAACAUAGCCAACGAGUAGUCCUGUUUUCCUUCUUGCGAUCGCGAGUUCGCCACUUCGCGACGAUCCUAUUCCACCAAGGGCGACUCCAAUGUAGAUUGCUCUCCGCCAUGCGGCCGGCUGGUCUUCGUCCAGGUCUCGUUGUGUUAUCCCCCGUUCAUGAGAUGCCUCUCAUGUGCAAGACGAAGCCACUCCACUUGUAAGGUCAUCCCUAACCUCCCCUUCCUAUUUGGCCACUUCAUAUGGUGCAGCAACGGUCAGAUCUUAGAAGGUCUCGCAUGUGAUGCAGUGUAAAAUUUUGAUUUCGUGUGCCCUUUCCUCUAUUUCUUCAAUUUGGACUUUUUCAAGACAACACCAAUCGCCUUAUCUAUUGAAAAAGUUGGCUGCUAUGCAUUCAAUCGUCGUUCUUUGCCUUCUCUCUUCAAAUCCUCAUGAGAUGGAUUGUUCUCACAUCAUGACUGCAAAGUUAACUUAAAAACUGGAAGGUCUCAGCUAUUCUUAUACGCAUAACUUCAAUCCUAACAUGGUUAUAUACUAAAGCCACUCAGACUCCUGUAGCCAUCAGGUAGGUAAAUGAUCUUUUGUUGUUGCAAAUGAAGCUUUUAAACUUUAAACCUUUCAUCUUGAUGUUUGCCCUCUAUGAGGUAUUCGGUUUGUCUAAUUAAGUAAAGGAAUACACCAUUUACAAUUUUCAUUUUAUUUUGGAACAAUAGACAAUAAUAAGUUAAGUAAAGGAAUGAAUCUAAAAAGAAAUGGGAUUAUUAUUUUGAUCUUUAUAGUAGGGGCCCCGGGUUGUAGUUUCGCCCAGGGCCCUCGAAAUAUUAGGACCGACCCUGGUGGCGAGUAGAAGUUACAACGAGAAGUGUGUGAAGAGUGGUCAUGAGGGUCACAUGAGCAAAUGUCUAAUCAUAGUCACGACCAUAUUCGUGCUGAAAGACAUGGGCCACAAGAUGAGCUUUGUAACGAUCGAGAGAACCAUCAGUCUCAACCUUGUAGACCCACUUGCAAGUGGCGGGACGAGCAUAGGGAAGAAGGGAAAUGAGAUCCCACGUGCUAGUGCAAUCAUGAGCAACUCUCCUCUGCCAUGAACAACAAUGUCACGAUAAGAAAUCGUCUGAGAAGAGCAUCGCUAGAAUAACCAUAGUGGCCAAUAGGCGGAAGCAAGCGAGCAGAAGCCAUAAGUAGGUUAAUAAGUUGGAGGCGGUGUGUUGCCAACAGAAGGAGGUAUGGUGUCGAGGAAGUUGGUGCAUCAGAAGAAUCCACAACAAGCGGACAACCAAUGUGGUAAAGAAAAGGACGAGGGCGAAUCAUCGGAGAAGCCUCAGGGAAGAUGGUGCAUCAGAAGAUUGCAUGACACUACGAAGACCACUUCAACGGAGAUUGCAUGACUUUGGCAUGAAAACCAUCAGGGAAGAGGUGUUGGUAGACACUAUCCUUUUUUUGUGAGCUCACAAAAGCUUUGCGUGUCUAUAUAUUCAGAAGAGUGGUUUUCAUGAUAUGGUAGCGUAAGGGCUGAUCAGUGGGGCUAACAUUGAGGGGGUGGGAGGGGGCUGUCGCUGUUACACCGCCGACGCCCAAAUACGCUUUUCUCUAGGUAUGUACCAACGGCGCGGCUCUAGCCGCAGUUGAAAGCCGAGCUUCAAUUGAGCCAUUGUCUGACUAUGACCUCUAUACAUUGUCGAUCAUUGAAGACCUGGGCAUUGUGUUUUAGACCUUGGAUUUGAUGGAUGCUCACACUUUUCACGACACCUUCUCAUGGGGGGCCAGCUGAAGCCCAUGGAAGAAAGCAUGACACACAUAGUGUGUGAGUACUUGGACAAUGUCGUCCACUAUCAAAGCAGGUGACCUAUGACGCUAUCAUGAAUGGCGAUGUUGCUGAAUUCACAGUGCAGGUAGUCCGUGAUGGCUUGCACCGUCAGCGCACCAGUGACGUGCUGGAUCCACGAAUGGUUUGCGAGGGCCUGAUGCAAGGUGCACGUGCUGCGAGUUGCGGGGGAGAUGCCUGGAAGAGCGCUAGUGCGGGGAGCUGGACGGACUACCCCUCCUGCCAUUUAUCGGUCUAGAAAGUGUCGAAUUUCCAUCGUCGAUGUAGGAAGAAGUGGGUGCGUCAAACAUGGAUUAUACCUUGUUUUGACAGGGGAUGAUAGCUCGGCCAACAUCAAUAGUGGGAGGACUUAUGCUACAACCGUUAGAUCGUAGCUAAGGAAUGCGCAUUUCAAGGAUCUCGAGGCUGCUGAGUACCACAGGGUGACACCUUGCUCUGAAGCUGACUGUCAAUCCCGCUCCAAAAUAAAGCCUGAAUGCACUUCUCAAUCGCCGCAAGUAACCACAAAGGUCACAAAGGUAAUUGCAUGGCGAUGGCAUGAUAAACUAGGAUGGAGAGAAGCAUGGAUUUGACAAGCAUGAGCUAACCUCCAAUGUUGAGACACAUUGCUUUGAAGCUGUCAAUGCCGCUCCAAAAUAAAGCCCGAAUGCACUUCUCAGUCGCUGCAAGUAACCACAAAGGUAGUUGCAUGGCGAUGGCAUGAUAAACUAGGAUGGAGAGCAGCAUCGAUUUGACAAGUAUGACCCAACCUCCAAUGUUGAGUAGAUUUGCAAUCCAUGUGGGGAUGUCGUUGAGAACUUUCUCCAGAAGAGGCUCCGGGUGGACCUUGCGAAUCUUCUUGAAUGACAGAGUGCCGGAGGUAGGUGCAUGUGAGUAGCUCUACGGGGAUGGGUUUCUUCAGCGUGCGGAGAGCGUGUGGAGGGGCGGGGGGGGGGCUUGGCCGUUAGCGUGAUGUGGUGGGUCCAUUAUGGGUCGGCUUCUUCAACCGUCAUGAGGCGUGACAAUAGCUGACUGCAAGAGCCCGAGGCGCGCGCAGUAGUGAUGUUCGAGGGAGGGGGGCCACCAAGGCAGGAGGCAGUGAUCUCCGCGUGCGAGCACUUGGGGGAUGGGGGCCUAUCGGGUAGAACAUGGAUGAACGCCACCGGUGCUCCCGCUCGGACACCGGGAGCGAGGGGAGGGGUGUCGCCAUGGAGGGGGCUAGGAGGCGAGGUUGACGGUACUGUCGACGAAGCUCUGAGGAGGUGGCGAAUGACAGCUUGGAGUUCUAAAUGGUUUCCCUCGUAGUCACAGACUUCAGAGUAGGGCUUUUUACAGUGUGAAUGUGGCCGCGCUAGAGGUCUACCAUCUCUUGGAACGCUGCUUCGAAGACUGACUUAAGAGCCCUGGAGUUGAUUGUGCUGGAAUUGGUCUUCGGGCUUCGUACUCGGUACAGUCGGUCGAAGAUUGCCUGCCAGGAGUGCCACUCGCUCUCAUUCUAGAAGAAAAAGUCAUCUCGUCACGCGGUAGAAAUUCCCAUAUUCACAUGGGCUUCUUCUUUGACGCACCUCGGCGUACAAUCUCCCUAAAUUUGUGGUAUCCUUCAAUUUCGUUCCUCCCGGGCUAGCAAAUCCGAAGUCUAAGCGCCGGCGAAGCUGUCAUCUUGAUGAGGCUGGUAAGUGAACCUGCUUUGCAAUUCCUUUGCCUGCUAUUUGCUGCCAGUUCCUCAACUUUCUCUGUGACCUCACACCGGCGUGCUUCAACUCCCCUACAAUUUUCACCUCCACUUCCUUGCCGUUACCUCCAUUUAUUUUCUCCCUGCCUCAAAUUACUGGUUUUAUGUUAAUCUCUCCCACUUUCCUCCCUCCCCUACAACUCCAGUUUUGAGAUUUUGCUUAAGAACCUCCUUUUGAUCACUAAUCUCUGGUUUAGGUCAUAAUUUGUUGAUUAUAUGUGCCCUUCUGUUCUGAUAUGAGAAUUGAAUUUAUAUGCUCGGUUUUAUUGUGUUAUGCAACGUGCUUCUAUCAAGUUAAAUGGACACACUGUGAUAUGUUGCUGGUUCCACGAUGUAGAUUUAGACAAUGUAGAAGUUAUUCUCACGUUCUUUCCAGCUGUAUCUGCAUUCCACUCUUGUUCUUUUCCGAACAUAAUUCAUAUAUAGAAAACCAAUAUUGUCAGCUACGUGCCCUGAAUAUUCCCCUAUGCUCUUAGAUUUUUUUCUUAUCUUUAUGAUUUAUUAGGUAACAUAAUUCUAGGACAUAUGAUUGUUAUUGAACCUUAGGUCAAUUAAGUUCCUGGCCACCACCUUUGGUUUCCUUUGUUUGAUGCUUGAAAGCAGAUGGGGCAUUAAUUCUCCAUUUUCUGAAUACAAAACUUUAAGAAACGGACUGGAGUGAGGGACGAGGAACAGAAACUUGGUGUGCCUGAUGGGAAGGCAAUUACAAAGGAAUCAGUGGUCUGCUGUCCUCCUUAGUCCUUUGAAUGAUUCAUUUUCUUUUGGCAUGCAAUAACAUGACUAAUGCCGACACAUCUCCAUUGUGGGUUUUAUAUUUUCACUAAUCAUGUCAAGUUUCCCCUUCAUUGGAGUAACUACUUAAGGAAUCUGUUAACCGGUUCCUGGUUCCUGUAGCAAGAAAGAAGACAAAUCUCGAUUUCUUUAUGAAGGGGUGGAAGGUAUAUUGCUGUAUUUAAGAGUUUGUCAAUAGGAUCUAUUGAUAGUCUCUUAUGCACACCUUUGGUGGUAACUAUUUAUGGGUAAUGAACUAUUACUUGUGAUGCAAGUACCAUAAAUUAUUCCCAUCCUAAGAUAUUUAAACUUCUUGAGCGAAUACUCCACACAUGUUGAAGCUUUAAGCCUCUUGUUUGCUACGUUGUUAGGAGCAGAUAUCACCUAGCAGUUUACAUGAGGGAGCAAAAUAUUCCAAACUACUCCGGUUCUAUGUUCAAAAAAUGCUUUGUCACAACUUCACAUUCUUCAGCAUGAGCCCAACAUUUCUUUGAAAGUUCAAACUACGGUCCAGAGACACACCGCAUUGGAAAAGGGCCAUCCGGUGCAGGUAGCUCCCACUUGCGCAGGGUCCGGGGAAGGGUCCAGACACACUGCCUUGGAAGUUCUCACAAAAUCAAUGCUUGAGAGAACUCUGAAUUUGUGGGUUCUCGCUUAUUGUGAGAGAACUCAGAAUUUCUUGGUGCUGAUGGUGAUUCGUCGCACUCUUGAUUGGCAAUGUCUACGCAUCGCAAGUUUGCUGAUUGCACUUGUCCCAUUACUAUUUAUAGCAGAUUCUCAGAAUAAAGUCUGAAUGAGACUGAACCUCUCAACCCAGCCCAAGUGCCCUGUUUAACUCAGAGUAAAGUACAAGAAAAAAAAUUUGGAGGUGGGCUUUUAUGGACGCAUAUUACCACAAUUUGCAUUUGGAGUACUUUGUUGAAGCAAAUUUGAUAAGGUUUAAUUCUCUCUUUCAGUAAGACAUGCAAACAUUAGCUUGUUACCCUUAACUUGAGAGAGAUGCAGGUCUCGAUCUCCUACAACCCUGCUAUGAUUCUGCGUGUACGUAUUUCCACUUUGUAUUCCGUCUGUAAUAGGUUGGCUUGGCAACAGAGGAUCACUUCUAGAGAAAUCCGUGAUGCCGAACUUUCAACACCGGCGGGGAGCACCUGCGCUGCUGGUCAACGGCUACUAAACAGAGCAGCCCUGCUCGUCUGGCUGGAAUCGGAACAGUUUGGAUCCCUCCAUGAUUCGUAGUCUUCAGCUAGCAGAGGAUCAGAUCGGACCAAGCUAGCAGGGAGAUUUGCUCGUGAUUUUAACAUCUGUUAUCUGGUGAUGCUUGAUUUUCUUUGUUCUGGAUUUUAUGUGUGCCUGUCUUGUGAUGUUAGAUACAGAUAGACUCAAAAGGCCCCAGCUGCGGAUUUGUUGGUGUAGUUUAUUUUAGCUGGGGUGACCUGUUGGUUUGCAGACAACGAAUCGAGCGAUGGUUUGGCCUCCAUAGUCAGUUACAGAGUUGAAGGAUUCCGCUGAUGGUUGAGCAAUUAGGUGAGAACGUCGCAUGGUGUUCUGGCAGUAUUGGCUGAUGAUAAUUCUUCCUCAAAAGCCGGCGUCAUCUCGGCUCUGCUGCUCGAAGUCGCUGCCACUGUUGUCGCUCUGGUGGCAACAUUCAUCCAGCACCGAUGGGCGAUAAACUGUCCAGGACCUCACUCGCGCCGAGUGCGAGCUAAUGAAUUACUGUAGCUGAAAUGGAUUAGAUAAAUUUGUUGCCUCCAUCCAGAAUAGGUACUUUGUGUAGACUGCAUCUUUCCCUUUUUCGUCAAAUGCCGGCAGUAUAGUUAUCCUGUCACACUGUAUGGAAGACCUCCACGAUGAUGGUUUAGCAGCAGGCUAAAGGAGAUCGAAGACAAUACAGUAAGAUUUAUGUUAUUAUGGUGUGUUCAGUGACACCGUGGAGUAACACAACACAACUGUAUAGUUUUUUAUUUCUAUUUUUGCAAAUCUCACAUUAGUCUGCAAGAAUAGUAGCAUGAGUUAAUAGUUUUUUGGGACGAGCUUGCUAUAAUGUCAGGGCUGAGCUACGCCGCAACUGUUGCUUA